UACGAAGGGAGCUAGCGUUGUUCGGAAUCACUGGGCGUAAAGCGCACGUAGGCGGAUUUGCCAGUCAGGGGUGAAAUCCCGGGGCUCAACCUCGGAACUGCCUUUGAUACAGCAAGUCUUGAGUUCGAGAGAGGUGGGUGGAAUUCCUAGUGUAGAGGUGAAAUUCGUAGAUAUUAGGAAGAACACCGGUGGCGAAGGCGGCCCACUGGCUCGACACUGACGCUGAGGCGCGAAAGCGUGGGGAGCGAACAGG
rnacentral:rRNA from 1 species